UUUCCGUCAUGACAGAAAGCAACUCCUGCUCCAUGUUCUUUAAAAAAAUAGCCGCAGAUUAUCUGUGCUAAGGUAGCACAAUCAUUUACCUUUCAAUUGAAGGAUYGUAUGAAAGUAUCAAUGACUUUUUCAAUCUCUCUCUAUCCUGUGCUUCUCAUAAAAUUCACUUAUAAGUAAAAAGGCUUAUGUAUCAGGGAAGGACGACAAGACCCUAUAGAACUUCACAAACUGUUAAACUGGGGCGGUUAACAACAAACUCUUAACUACUAACUUACUACCACCGACCUGAUAACAUCAAUUAUAGAAACAAGUUACCUUAGGGAUAACAGAGGAAUAUCCCUUUAGAUGACCUUCAAGAGAAAGAUUCCGACCUCGAUGUUGAAUUAAUAUAACUUCAUAACAAAAUGUUAUCUAAGUUGGUCUGUUCGACCACCAAAAUAUUACAUGAUUUGGGUUCAGACCUGCGUAAGCCAGGUCAGAUUCUAUCCUCCUCAACUUUAUUACAGUACGAAAGGACCUAAUAAAAGAUU
rnacentral:rRNA from 1 species